GUAGGUGGCAAGCGUUGUCCGGAAUUAUGGGCGUAAAGCGCGCGCAGGUGGGUUCUUUAAGUCUGAUGUGAAAGCCCCCGGGCUCAACCGGGGAGGGUCAUUGGAAACUGGGGAACUUGAGUGCAGGAGAGGAAAGUGGAAUUCCACGUGUAGCGGUGAAAUGCGUAGAUAUGUGGAGGAACACCAGUGGCGAAGGCGACUUUCUGGCCUGUAACUGACACUGAGGCGCGAAAGCGUGGGGAGCAAACAGGAUUAGAUACCCUGGUAGUCCACGCCGUAAACGAUGAGUGCUAAGUGUUGGGGGGUUUCCGCCCCUCAGUGCUGCAGCUAACGCAUUAAGCACUCCGCCUGGGGAGUACGGUCGCAAAGACUG
rnacentral:rRNA from 1 species